rnacentral:rRNA from 1 species
UGGGGAAUAUUGCGCAAUGGGCGAAAGCCUGACGCAGCAACGCCGCGUGAGUGAUGAAGGCCUUCGGGUCGUAAAGCUCUGUCGGAGGGAACGAAUGCUCCUGAAGUUAACAGCCUCAGGAGGUGACGGUACCCUCAAAGGAAGCACCGGCUAACUCUGUGCCAGCAGCCGCGGUAAUACGUAGGGACCAAGCGUUGUUCGGAUUUACUGGGCGUAAAGGGCGCGUAGGCGGCAUGACAAGUCACUUGUGAAAUCUCUGGGCUUAACCCAGAACGGCCAAGUGAUACUGUCGCGCUAGAGUGCAGAAGGGGCAAUCGGAAUUCUUGGUGUAGCGGUGAAAUGCGUAGAUAUCAAGAGGAACACCUGAGGUGAAGACGGGUUGCUGGGCUGACACUGACGCUGAGGCGCGAAAGCCAGGGGAGCAAACGGGAUUAGAUACCCCGGUAGUCCCUGAGCGGGCUGGCAAGGCGCAU